rnacentral:rRNA from 1 species
UACGUAGGGGGCAAGCGUUGUCCGGAUUUAUUGGGCGUAAAGCGCGUGUAGGCGGCCAGGUAGGUCAGCUGUGAAAACUCGAGGCUCAACCUCGAGAUGUCGGCUGAAACCAUCUGGCUAGAGUCCGGAAGAGGAGAAUGGAAUUCCCGGUGUAGCGGUGAAAUGCGCAGAUAUCGGGAAGAACACCCGUGGCGAAGGCGGUUCUCUGGGACGGUACUGACGCUGAGACGCGAAAGCGUGGGGAGCGAACAGGAUUAGAUACCCCCGUAGUCC